UACGUAGGGUGCAAGCGUUGUCCGGAAUUAUUGGGCGUAAAGAGCUCGUAGGCGGUUUGUCGCGUCGAAUGUGAAAACCCGGGGCUCAACCCCGGGCCUGCAUUCGAUACGGGCAGACUAGAGUUCGGUAGGGGAGAUCGGAAUUCCUGGUGUAGCGGUGAAAUGCGCAGAUAUCAGGAGGAACACCGGUGGCGAAGGCGGAUCUCUGGGCCGAUACUGACGCUGAGGAGCGAAAGCGUGGGGAGCGAACAGG
rnacentral:rRNA from 1 species